rnacentral:rRNA from 1 species
UACGUAGGGUGCAAGCGUUAAUCGGAAUUACUGGGCGUAAAGCGUGCGCAGGCGGUUGUGUAAGACAGAUGUGAAAUCCCCGGGCUCAACCUGGGAAUGGCGGUGGAUACUGGAUAGCUAGAGUGUGUCAGAGGAUGGUGGAAUUCCCGGUGUAGCGGUGAAAUGCGUAGAGAUCGGGAGGAACAUCAGUGGCGAAGGCGGCCAUCUGGGACAACACUGACGCUGAAGCACGAAAGCGUGGGGAGCAAACAGG